rnacentral:misc_RNA from 1 species
GUGAAUCAUCGAAUCUUUGAACGCAAAUUGCGCCUUUUUCGGAAGGCAUGUCUGUUUGAGGGCACCAUUUAACAAAUAAUGUGCAUUUCGUGUGCACACGUUGAUGAGCUUUCCAAAAUUAUGUAUUAUUAUUUUUGGUGGCGCAUAUUAAACAGCCCGUUCCUUUUUUUCAGUUGGAGGUAAGUAAAUUUUUUUUUCUUUGGGUUGUGAAAAGCGGAUUGCCCCAAUGGGUGUGGCGUU